CCUACGGGUGGCUGCAGUGGGGAAUAUUGCGCAAUGGGCGAAAGCCUGACGCAGCGACGCCGCGUGGAGGAUGAAGGUCUUCGGAUUGUAAACUUCUGUUAAGUGGGAAGAAAAGUCUGUUUUGAAUAGAAGCAGAAAAUGACGGUACCACUAGAGAAAGCACUGGCUAAUCUCGUGCCAGCAGCCGCGGUAAUACGAGAGGUGCAAGCGUUAUUCGGAAUCAUUGGGCGUAAAGGGUGCGUAGACGGUUUAUUAAGUCUGUUGUUUAAGACUCC
rnacentral:rRNA from 1 species